GUUGUAUGGUUAAGUGACUAAGCGUACACGGUGGAUGCCUUGGCAGUCAGAGGCGAUGAAAGACGUAGUAACUUGCGAUAAGCCCAGAUUAGGUAGUAACAACCAUUUGAGUCUGGGAUUUCUGAAUGGGGAAACCCACUUACAUAAGUAAGUAUCGCUGCGUGAAUACAUAGCGCAGCGAGGCGAACCGGGGGAACUGAAACAUCUAAGUACCCCGAGGAAAAGAAAUCAACCGAGAUUCCGAAAGUAGCGGCGAGCGAAAUUGGACUAGCCCUUAAGCUUUACACGCGUUAGACGAACGGUCUGGAAAGUCCGACGAUACAGGGUGAUAGUCCCGUAGUUGACGACGUGUGUUCAGUGAAAUCGAGUAGGGCGGGACACGUGAUAUCCUGUCUGAAUAUGGGGGGACCAUCCUCCAAGGCUAAAUACUACUGACUGACCGAUAGUGAACCAGUACCGUGAGGGAAAGGCGAAAAGAACCCCUGUGAGGGGAGUGAAAUAGAACCUGAAACCGUGUACGUACAAGCAGUAGGAGCACCUUCGUGGUGUGACUGCGUACCUUUUGUAUAAUGGGUCAGCGACUUAUAUUCAGUGGCAAGGUUAACCAUCUAGGGGAGCCGUAGGGAAACCGAGUCUUAACUGGGCGUUCAGUCUCUGGAUAUAGACCCGAAACCAGGUGAUCUAGCCAUGGGCAGGUUGAAGGUUGAGUAACAUCAACUGGAGGACCGAACCGACUAAUGUUGAAAAAUUAGCGGAUGACUUGUGGCUAGGGGUGAAAGGCCAAUCAAACCUGGAGAUAGCUGGUUCUCCCCGAAAGCUAUUUAGGUAGCGCCUCGGACGAAUACUACUGGGGGUAGAGCACUGUUAAGGCUAGGGGGUCAUCCCGACUUACCAACCCUUUGCAAACUCCGAAUACCAGUAAGUACUAUCCGGGAGACACACGGCGGGUGCUAACGUCCGUCGUGGAGAGGGAAACAACCCAGACCGCCAGCUAAGGUCCCAAAUUACUACUAAGUGGGAAACGAUGUGGGAAGGCUCAGACAGCCAGGAUGUUGGCUUAGAAGCAGCCAUCAUUUAAAGAAAGCGUAAUAGCUCACUGGUCGAGUCGGCCUGCGCGGAAGAUGUAACGGGGCUAAGUAGUAAACCGAAGCUGCGGCAAUAUACUUUUGUAUAUUGGGUAGGGGAGCGUUCUGUAAGCGGUUGAAGGUGUGUGGUAACGCAUGCUGGACGUAUCAGAAGUGCGAAUGCUGACAUGAGUAACGAUAAAGGGGGUGAAAAACCUCCUCGCCGGAAGACCAAGGGUUCCUGUCCAACGUUAAUCGGGGCAGGGUAAGUCGACCCCUAAGGCGAGGCCGAAAGGCGUAGUCGAUGGGAAACGGGUUAAUAUUCCCGUACUUCUUACAAUUGCGAUGGGGGGACGGAGAAGGCUAGGUGGGCCUGGCGACGGUUGUCCAGGUUCAAGUGCGUAGGCUUAAGAGUUAGGUAAAUCCGGCUCUUUUUAAGGCUGAGACACGACGUCGAGCACCUACGGGUGUGAAGUCAUUGAUGCCAUGCUUCCAGGAAAAGCCUCUAAGCUUCAGAUUGUAAGGAAUCGUACCCCAAACCGACACAGGUGGUCGGGUAGAGAAUACCAAGGCGCUUGAGAGAACUCGGGUGAAGGAACUAGGCAAAAUGGUACCGUAACUUCGGGAGAAGGUACGCUCUUGAUGGUGAAGUCCCUUGCGGAUGGAGCUGACGAGAGUCGCAGAUACCAGGUGGCUGCAACUGUUUAUUAAAAACACAGCACUGUGCAAAAUCGUAAGAUGACGUAUACGGUGUGACGCCUGCCCGGUGCCGGAAGGUUAAUUGAUGGGGUUAGACUUCGGUCGAAGCUCUUGAUCGAAGCCCCGGUAAACGGCGGCCGUAACUAUAACGGUCCUAAGGUAGCGAAAUUCCUUGUCGGGUAAGUUCCGACCUGCACGAAUGGCGUAAUGAUGGCCACGCUGUCUCCACCCGAGACUCAGUGAAAUUGAAAUCGCUGUGAAGAUGCAGUGUACCCGCGGCUAGACGGAAAGACCCCGUGAACCUUUACUACAGCUUGGCACUGAACAUUGACCCUACAUGUGUAGGAUAGGUGGGAGGCUUUGAAGCACGUACGCCAGUAUGUGUGGAGCCGUCCUUGAAAUACCACCCUUGUAGUGUUGAUGUUCUAACGUCGACCCCUUAUCGGGGUUGCGGACAGUGCCUGGUGGGUAGUUUGACUGGGGCGGUCUCCUCCCAAAGAGUAACGGAGGAGCACGAAGGUGGGCUAAUCACGGUUGGACAUCGUGAGGUUAGUGCAAUGGCAUAAGCCCGCUUGACUGCGAGAAUGACAAUUCGAGCAGGUGCGAAAGCAGGUCAUAGUGAUCCGGUGGUUCUGAAUGGAAGGGCCAUCGCUCAACGGAUAAAAGGUACUCCGGGGAUAACAGGCUGAUACCGCCCAAGAGUUCAUAUCGACGGCGGUGUUUGGCACCUCGAUGUCGGCUCAUCACAUCCUGGGGCUGAAGUCGGUCCCAAGGGUAUGGCUGUUCGCCAUUUAAAGUGGUACGCGAGCUGGGUUUAGAACGUCGUGAGACAGUUCGGUCCCUAUCUGCCGUGGGCGUUGGAAGAUUGAAGGGGGCUGCUCCUAGUACGAGAGGACCGGAGUGGACGAACCUCUGGUGUUCGGGUUGUGUCGCCAGACGCAUUGCCCGGUAGCUAAGUUCGGAAUCGAUAACCGCUGAAAGCAUCUAAGCGGGAAGCGAGCCCUGAGAUGAGUCUUCCCUGAUACUUUAAGUAUCCUAAAGGGUUGUCGGAGACUACGACGUUGAUAGGUCAGGUGUGUAAGUGCUGUGAGGCAUUGAGCUAACUGAUACUAAUUGCCCGUGAGGCUUAACCAUACAACACCCAAGGGGUUU
rnacentral:rRNA from 2 species